rnacentral:misc_RNA from 1 species
UCUAUCUCUACUUUAUUCAUGUAGUAACAAGGUGCAACAAACUUAGCACUGAUCCGUGGAUUUCCAUCAUUAGCCCCAGCAAAGCCCCAAGGCCCACUAGCUUCCAACUUAAAUGGCAAAGGCUUGGCUCUCUCUCUCCUUCCUGUAACCUUGUGAUGAGCAAAAUCAAUGUGGGAAGGAUCAGAGACAUUCUCCAUAAGCGUAUCAUAACCAUAGAACAAAUCACGCUGAAUUGUAACUGUUGAGAACUCGGGUUUAUCAAAGUCAUCAGGUAACAUUGGAGGCUUGGUUGCCUGAGCUCUCUCCCAACCAUUCUCAUCUGGCCAAACAAAGAGAAGACCUUGGGAAACCAUCGUAGGAAAUCUGGUAGCACAAGCUCUGGAGGACUUAGCCGCACGAGCUUCAGGACCUUCAGGCAAGGCCUGAGGCAUCUUCGUGCAAGAUCCGCACCCAGCAAAUGACCAUCCAUGGUAUGAACAUUGC